rnacentral:lncRNA from 1 species
CAGGAGGGCGGCCGCAAGGCGGGGUGUCGGCCCUGGCUCAGGGGAAGGUAGCUGCCAGACGUGGUGCGGAGGGUCGCGCAGUGGGUCGUAGCGUCGCGCAGUGGGUCGUAGCGUUGAGAGCGGCAUGAGAGCGUAGCCUCGGGGGAGCAGUUAGUCCAGUCUCUUCUGCUAGAGAAGGAGGGACCGAAGCCCAGAGAGAGUCCACGAUUUGCCCCAGAGCGAGGGUCAGGCCCUUGUCUGUGUGCUCACGCUUCCCUUUCGAGCACGAAGCGCCGUACCUGGCACAGAACUGGCGCCCAAACGUCUGUUAAGUGGCAUUUCGUUGUAAGAACAGGCAGCUGAAACUCUUUUAACAAAUUACAAGAUUAAAAAAUAAUUUUUUUAAAAAAAGAGGGAAGUGGACCUAUAGAUGAGACUCAUCAGCCAAAUGCAACCUCUAAACUUUAUUCGGAUCAUGGGUCUAACAACCAAUUGUGCAAUUUUUAAAAAUCCGGGAAAUGUGAACAUUGAUGGGCGAUAUGAGUCACUGUUUAAAAAGUUCAGCUGUUAGGGUUAUGCUUUAAAAAGGAAAAGUGUCUUAGAGACACAUACUGCAGAUUUUACGAGUUAAAUGAUGUCUGAGAUUCGCUUGAAAGAUACCCAGUGUGGCCAGCGAGGGUAGACAAGAAUGGCAGAAAAUAAAGAGCUAUGAAAACUGGGUGAGGGAUACUAGAGAGGGUGUCGUACUGUUUUAUUCUCUGUAGUGAUAUUGAAAAGGACCAUAAUCGAGGGGUUUUAUUUAAUUCUACUGUGUUUCAGAAAGUUUCUUAAAUAAGACGCUCAGGGAGAGUUUGUCUGAAACGAACCCUCCCACGGCACAAGUGAGCCUCCCUGGGGACUUCUCCAGUCAAGAAUGACCACAGCAGUGACGGGGGGCUGUGUCCCAGUGCCUCGGGAUCCUUCAGAAGCAGGACAGGAUUCUGACCUUGAAGGUGGAAAGCAGAGGACCACUCGUAGGGGAAAGACUAUGCUGCCAGGUAAUCAGCCUCCCAGCCAGGAGCUGGCCUGUCCGCACUUCAGAGAGUUCUAGACCCGGGAGGCUUGGGACCCCACCCGAUUCUGCGAUGGCUCUAGGAGCCCCCACCGGUGACUGAGGACACAGGGACAGUCUGCAAGUUGCCCAUCCUGGAGCUGCUGGUGCUUGAGCAGCUCUUGGCCAUUCUGCCCAGAGGCAGUAGGGCUGGGGCGGGGAGGGCACUCCUGGGCGACCAAGAGGAGGUGGGAGUCGUGUGGAGGGUUCCAGUGAGAAAAUGACCCAGGCCAGCAGGUAGACGAGAGAACUAACUUCUGAAGAUAGGGAGGGGUAGGUCUUCCAAAAGAAAAUGAAGGCCACGUCUGUUUUGACCCUACACCGUGUCUCUGUGUUCCUCUUCUCUCUUCCUGGUACCUUUGAGGAUCAAGUUCAAUCACUUGAUGGAAUGAAAAACAUAGGAUCAUUUCCUAGGUUUGUUUGUUUGUUUUUCCUGACAUUCUGAUUCUCAUUCUUACCAAGAUGUGCAUCGUCUAAGUCAUUAUUUAAACCACUGAAAUUCGAAUCAUUCUCUAUGGAGACUAAAAGACAUAUUCUUCUAUCACAACACACAGUCACGUGCAUGUUUCACAUUUCUGGCUGAGCUGCCCAAUCCCAGAGCUCCUUAGCCGCUGUGUUCUUGAAACUUCAAAGGAAGGACUUCACCGUAUCCCUUCUGUAUACCUUCUUGCUGAAAGGCCAGCAAAGACUUUUUUUAGAAAACUUGUUAUCUCUGGAGACAACUAAAUGCAAAGUUUGGAAAAUUCUCCAGCUCAGCAGACGCCUUGGCUUCACCCUCGUAAGAAACCCUGAGUGAGAACUGCUCAGCUCAACUAGAAGCCACUGGAGAGAAGUUAGGUUGGAUUCAGAAAAACUGGAACUUCUGGGGGGCGCCUGGGGGGCUCAGUCAGUUAAGUAUCCGACUUUGGCUCAGGUCAUGGUCUUGCAGUUCAUGAGUUUGAGCCCGAUGUCGGGCUCCGUGCUGCCAGCUUGGAGCCUGGAGCCUGCUUCAGAUUCUGUGUCUCCCUCUCUCUCCCCCUACCCCACUCAUGCUCUGUAUGUGUGUGUGUCUCUCUC